rnacentral:lncRNA from 1 species
GGAUGAUGCUGAGGAGAGGAAGAGCAUUGAUUUCCCAGAAUUUCUAUUCUCUUUUGCAGGAAGAAAGUUUCUGCAAGCCCUCGGGCUCCUAGACACAGAUAAUAGGCAGCUAGAAGAUGGCUGGGGCAAGUUAAAAUGGUCUUUGCCAAGAUGCAUAUGCACAUUUUACAACACAAACAGGAACAACAAUGGCAAAAACUCUUAAAAGCAGAUAACACAUGUUGUGAUUGGUCACAAGGGAGCUCAACUUUACUGGGGCACAAUAAUGAUGAUUUAAAGAGAAUCAAGCAACACUCAAGCUAUCAACUAAUGAGAUGUAAGAGAGUUCUGAAUUUAA